rnacentral:lncRNA from 1 species
CUGGAUUCUAAAAGUAGUGUAUCAGUUCAGAGGUCAGGUGAUUUGGCCAGUGAAAGGGCAAGGCUUGGACAAGUGAUCAUUAGUCAUGCUGUCAGAGAACCAUUUCUUUCUCCUGCAAUAGGCAGCAUGGAGAACAGCUUCUUUUCAUCCACCUAGUCCCAUUCCAUCUCCUUAGUGAACAUCUGCUGUAGGGACCUGCAGUCUCUGUUUAUGGCAAGGACUUUCUGAAUAUUGAAUCAUCUUUCACAUUCUACAGAAGUCACAGAAGCCAACACACAACUCCAGAGUUAAACAUAUUAAACCCCUGUCAUCAGAGAGAACUUUCAAAAAAUCUUGAGAUGGGACCCAUUGGCUCAGACUGAGUCAGAUGUCUACCCUUGGACCAAUCAACUGUGGUCUCUGUGAAUGUAGGCUACUAUUAUUGCCCUAUUUGAGUUUUCUUCCCACUCAUGAGCCAAUCAACUCUAGACAGAAAAGGGAAUGAUCUGAAGCUUGGAAGUUCUCACAGGAACCCUAUAAAUGAAGAAGAGGACAGGACAUGUUUUAAGACAAAGAAAAACGCUAUGCAACCAAAAUACAUCUACUACAAUAACAGUGAUUAUUAAAAAGUCAUUUAAUUUCUCUAAGCCUCAAUUUUCUCUUCUCUAAAAGUGUAUGAAUUGUCUAUUGCUAUGGAUAUGUAUCAAAUAAGAUACUUUAAAAGUUUUAAAUGACAAACUUCUAUACAGUUCUAAAAGGUUGCUCUGAUUAUUACACUGGUGUCACCAAAGUGGUUUCUAGAUUCUAUUUCUGCAGAGCUUUCAUUUGUAAAAUUGGAAUGAUUUUCUCUACUUUUUAUGGUUAUGGACUAAUUAAAGAGAAAUAUCUACCAUUUAUUUAUUGAUGGUUUAAUAUAUAUUAUGGUAGGAGGUUUGCACAUAUUUCCUUUUUUAAUUUUCACCACAGUCCUAUAAACUAGAUAGUCUUACCAAGCAUACUGUAAUGUAAACAGGUUAAGAUGAUUAAGUUCCUAACAUGAAUUAGUGUCAGAGAGAGGAUUUAAAUCAGGUCUGAGUGAUUCCGUGAUUCCAAAGGCAAGGUGGGGAUUUUAAAGAGCCAUACAAUAACACUCUUAUGUGUUAUAAUUUUAUUGUUCAUUUUUAUAAUUCAAUUAUAAUUGGUUUAUUUCUGAG